GACGAACGCUGGCGGCGUGCUUAACACAUGCAAGUCGAACGAAGUGGCGAACGGGUGAGUAACGCGUAAUCAACAUGAUCUUCAGAGGGGGACAAAAGUUGGAAACGACUGCUAAUACAGCAUACUGAAGUCGGGGAUUGCGUCUGAUUAGCUGGUUGGAGGGGUAACGGCCCACCAAGGCGAUGAUCAGGAGCCGGUCUGAGAGGAUGAACGGCCGACUUUGGACUGAGACACGGCCCAGACUCCUACGGGAGGCAGCAGUAGGGAAUCUUCCGCGAUGGACGAAAGUCUGACGGAGCAACUCCGCGUGAGUGAUAACGGCCUUCGGGUUGUAAAGCUCUGUUAAUCGGGACGCGGUACCGGAAUAGAAAGCCACGGCUAACUACGUGCCAGCAGCCGCGGUAAUUC
rnacentral:rRNA from 1 species